rnacentral:lncRNA from 1 species
UUGGAGAGUAGAAUUUGAAAGCAAACUUGUGAAAGGAUUUUUAAGUUCAUUUUAUGUGAUUUGAAGGGAUAUUGAGGUUUUAAAGGCUUUUCAAAGUCAGAGAUGUAUUUAAUGGAUUUGGAUUUUGAGAAUAAAAAGAAGUUUAUAAAUUUUCAUUUUUUGUGAGUGUUGUAGCAUAUUUAUAAAUGGAAUUAUUUCAGUCUAUUAUUGUAUUUAUCUUAAUUUUUUUUGAAAAAAUUGAUGUUGAUUUAACAAUUAGAUUAAUAAUUAUAAGAGUUUUUUUAUCGAUCUUGGAUAAUUGAAAUUUAGAAUUAAUAAGAAUUUUUGCAAUCUUACAACAUCUAUUAGUUUAAUUGAAGUAAAAAUUAGUGACAACUAUUUAGACUUAGAAUUCUAUAUAUCAGCUAAAUUUUGAAGAAAUUGAACAGAUCAUCAAGAAGAAGUUAUUGUUGGAAUAUCAACAUUUGGAUUGGAGAAGGAAGGUGACCAACAUCCAAGCACUAUAAGAGUUUUUUUUUUUUUCAAAUUGGUGAACUGAUUUUCCUAAAAUUUUUUGUGCUUGUUAAUUGCUUGUGGAAUAAGAUGUCAGUAAAGUUUUAGUUAAGAUUAAUUUAAAUUUUUUAACCAAAUGAGUGUUUUUACUUUAAAAUU